GACGAACGCUGGCGGCAUGCCUAAUACAUGCAAGUCGAGCGAACAGAUGAAGUGCUUGCACUUCUGACGUUAGCGGCGAACGGGUGAGUAACACGUAAGGAAUCUACCUAUAAGCGGGGGAUAACAUUCGGAAACGGGUGCUAAUACCGCAUAAUAUCUUCUUCCGCAUGGAAGAAGAUUGAAAGACGGCUCUGCUGUCACUUAUAGAUGACCUUGCGGUGCAUUAGUUAGUUGGUGGGGUAACGGCCUACCAAGACGAUGAUGCGUAGCCGACCUGAGAGGGUGAUCGGCCACAUUGGGACUGAGACACGGCCCAAACUCCUACGGGAGGCAGCAGUAGGGAAUCUUCCGCAAUGGGCGAAAGCCUGACGGAGCAACGCCGCGUGAGUGAAGAAGGCCUUCGGGUCGUAAAACUCAGUUAUAAGAGAAGAACAAAUUGUAGAGUAACUGCUACAGUCUUGACGGUAUCUUAUCAGAAAGCCACGGCUAACUACGUGCCAGCAGCCGCGGUAA
rnacentral:rRNA from 1 species